rnacentral:rRNA from 1 species
AGGUUACUGCUAUCGGUGUUCGCCUAAGCCAUGCGAGUCAUAUGUUCUUCGUGAACAUGGCGUACUGCUCAGUAACACGUGGAUAACCUGCCCUUGGGUCCGGCAUAACCCCGGGAAACUGGGGAUAAUUCCGGAUAACGCACAUAUGCUGGAAUGCUUUAUGCGUCAAAUGGAUUCGUCCGCCCAAGGAUGGGUCUGCGGCCUAUCAGGUAGUAGUGGGUGUAAUGUACCUACUAGCCUACGACGGGUACGGGUUGUGAGAGCAAGAGCCCGGAGAUGGAUUCUGAGACAUGAAUCCAGGCCCUACGGGGCGCAGCAGGCGCGAAAACUUUACAAUGCGGGAAACCGUGAUAAGGGGACACCGAGUGCCAGCAUCAUAUGCUGGCUGUCCGGGUGUGUAAAAUACACCUGUUAGCAAGGGCCGGGCAAGACCGGUGCCAGCCGCCGCGGUAACACCGGCGGCCCGAGUGGUGAUCGUGAUUAUUGGGUCUAAAGGGUCCGUAGCCGGUUUGGUCAGUCCUCCGGGAAAUCUGACGGCUUAACCGUUAGGCUUUCGGGGGAUACUGCCAGACUUGGAACCGGGAGAGGUAAGAGGUACUACAGGGGUAGGAGUGAAAUCUUGUAAUCCCUGUGGGACCACCUGUGGCGAAGGCGUCUUACCAGAACGGGUUCGACGGUGAGGGACGAAAGCUGGGGGCACGAACCGGAUUAGAUACCCGGGUAGUCCCAGCCGUAAACGAUGCUCGCUAGGUGUCAGCAUGGCGCGACCGUGUCUGGUGCCGCAGGGAAGCCGUGAAGCGAGCCACCUGGGAAGUACGGUCGCAAGGCUGAUACUUAAAGGAAUUGGCGGGGGAGCACAAUCACUAGUG